AGUUUGCCUGGCGGACGAACGCUGGCGGCGUGCUUAACACAUGCAAGUCGAACGAUGAAGCCGCUUCGGUGGUGGAUUAGUGGCGAACGGGUGAGUAACACGUGGGCAAUCUGCCCUCUCUGGGACAAGCCCUGGAAACGGGGAAUACCGGAUAUGAGGGAUCGCAUGGUCUCCGUGUGGAAAGCGGCGGUGCAGGAUGAGCCCGCGGCCUAUCAGCUUGUUGGUGGGGUGAUGGCCUACCAAGGCGACGACGGGUAGCCGGCCUGAGAGGGCCGGCCACACUGGGACUGAGACACGGAGACUCCUACGGGAGGCAGUGGGGAUUGAAUGGGCGCAAGCCUGAUGCAGCGACGCCGCGUGAGGGAUGGCCUUCGGGUUGUAAACCUCUUUCAGCAGGGAAGAAGCGAGAGUGACGGUACCUGCAGAAGAAGCACCGGCUAACUACGUGCCAGCAGCCGCGGUAAUACGUAGGGUGCGAGCGUUGGGAAUUAUUGGGCGUAAAGAGCUCGUAGGCGGCUUGUCGCGUCGGUGAAAGCCCGGGGCUUAACCCGUCUGCAUUCGAUACGGGCAGGCUAGAGUUCGGCAGGGGAGAUUGGAAUUCCUGGUGUAGCGGUGAAAUGCGCAGAUAUCAGGAGGAACACCGGUGGCGAAGGCGGAUCUCUGGGCCGAUACUGACGCUGAGGAGAAGCGUGGGGAGCGAACAUUAGAUACCCUGGUAGUCCACGCCGUAAACGUUGGGUAGGUGUGGGCCGUACUCCC
rnacentral:rRNA from 1 species